rnacentral:tRNA from 1 species
GGGUCUGUAGCUCAGCUGGUUAGAGCAUUGUGUUGAUAACGCAGGGGUCGUUGGUUCGAGUCCAACCAGACCCACCA